rnacentral:sRNA from 1 species
AAAACAAUGAGACAUUUGUAUUUAGCGCAAAAACCACGUGAUGUUCUUUAAAACUGUUUUGAAUUUAUUACAAAAAAACAUUCUAAAUAAUUUUGAAUUGCUUAAUUAGUUUGGAUUUUAAAAGCUGAAAGAAAGACACAAUAACUUAAAAUAAUCCAAAGAGUCAUGCUUAAAUAAAUCCAACCAACAUAACUAUCGAAGCUGUUGCAACACAACAAUAUUUGUCACAAAAAAAAAACAAUCGUUUCAGAUGGACAAGAUAUUCUAAAGUAAAGACUUGUCAAGCAUUAACUUUGAAGAGAAGAUUGUAUUGGCUGAGUGAUAGGGUUCUCUUCAUCCAUUGUUUUCUGUUUUUUCCUUGGUCGUCCUUGAGGUUUCUUGGGUGGUUUUGGCAUUGCUUUACACUUGCAUGAACGUUUGUUGUGUCCGACUUGUUGACAAUUGCUGCAAGUCUAAAUAUGCAAAGAUUAAAUUUAAUA